GAUAACACUCUUCGAAGCGUUGAGCCCUGAGUUUUGAUUGGGUGAUCUCUAGAAUUAUCUUUUGGUUUCAGUAUUUCCUUAUCGAUGCUGAGAGCAUUAAUUUUUAAUUGUUAUUUACCUUUUGAUAUUGCAGGGGAGGUAAUAUGUGAAACACACAAUUUUGAUUAUUUUCUGGUAUCUUUUCUCUAUUAUUAUUUUCACUAUUUCAAGUAAGAUAAGUCUGUUGGUGUGCGGUACGAAUAAGGGUUAUAAUUAAAAAGUUGAGCUUUAGAUGUUGUCUUACCAUUAAUGCUACUUUUUUUAUACAAAUGUGUGUUCUACAUUUGGAUUUUCGAUCUAUAUUCUGAUAGUGCAGAAGUUAACAAAGUACCGGAAAAUUUGGGACGACUUGGUGAGCAUGUCUUCUUUUUUCUUGAUUUUUUGUGCAUCUAUUUGUCACAACAUAAUUCUUCUGUACAUGAAUCAUUUUGGUGUUACAUGGAUUUGAUGUGAAGUAUCAUUUUGCUUCUUUCUCAAUCACACUACACCUUUUUAGUUCGCCCUCAGAUUUAGACAAAUUAUAGAUGAGUACCUUUCUGCUUUGUACCAUAAUGUCAUGAUGACCGUUCAUAUAUUUCCGAGGCGUUAAUUGCGGCAACCACAUUUCUUGAUUCCUUUGCGAAAGAUUAGCCAGUAAGAUUAUCAACCACUUUCUUCAAUGAGUUAUUCGUUUGUUAUUUUUAUUUAUGUGCUUUGAUUGCAGGACAUACAAAUUGAAUUAUGAACAUGUUUUUCUGCAGUGUGCGAAGCAUAUUUUUCUUCUAAUAAAUUCUAUUCAUUUAAAUAUUUCUUUAUUUAUUUUGUCAGCGUAUUUUUCUUGAUUUUGGUUUAAUCUUUGUUGUUGCAGGUUCAAUUCCUUCUGGUUAUAUCUUUCGUUGGUUUGAUCUUCUUGUUUUGUAUUAUUAUUCUUUUCGGAUUGUUGAUUUUGGUUUCUUGAUUUUGGGGCUUGAUUUGGUUCUUGCUGGUUUGGAUCUGCGGCUAUUAUUUAGAUUUUAACGAUUUUUUCUUUUAUUAUUUUAAUCAUCUGCAGCUAUUAUUUAGAAUUUUAAUAAACUGUUCUUCCCGUUCCUCUGUUUUGUCAUUUAUUGGAAUAAUUUUCUUCGGUUGAUCAUGUUUAGUGUUAAUAUGUUGCAGUAGGCUCGACUUCUGAUGUUUGUAAGGUGUUGUAGAGAUGUUUUGCGAAACUAGAUACAUGAUUAUCAGUUUUUAACUCGUGGUUAAAUAUAGUCAAUUUUAUUUCUUUAUUGAAAUUUAUUAUUCUUGUGAAUUUAAUUUCUGGCUUGAUUGCCACACAUUGAAUUGAAAUAUGGACCUGUUUUCUGCAUUGUGAUCUUAUUUUUCUACAGUGUGGUUUGUCAAAACGAUAACACUCUUCGAAGCGUUGAGCCCUGAGUUUUGAUUGGGUGAUCUUAUUGAUCGCAGGACAUACAAAGAAUUGUGAUCUUAUUUUUCUACAGUGUGGUUUGUCAAAACGAUAACACUCUUCGAAGCGUUGAGCCCUGAGUUUUGAUUGGGUGAUCUUAUUGAUCGCAGGACAUACAAAGAAUUGUGAUCUUAUUUUUCUACAGUGUGGUUUGUCAAAACGAUAACACUCUUCGAAGCGUUGAGCCCUGAGUUUUGAUUGGGUGAUCUUAUUGAUCGCAGGACAUACAAAGAAUUGUGAUCUUAUUUUUCUACAGUGUGGUUUGUCAAAACGAUAACACUCUUCGAAGCGUUGAGCCCUGAGUUUUGAUUGGGUGAUCUUAUUGAUCGCAGGACAUACAAAGAAUUGUGAUCUUAUUUUUCUACAGUGUGGUUUGUCAAAACGAUAACACUCUUCGAAGCGUUGAGCCCUGAGUUUUGAUUGGGUGAUCUUAUUGAUCGCAGGACAUACAAAGAAUUGUGAUCUUAUUUUUCUACAGUGUGGUUUGUCAAAACGAUAACACUCUUCGAAGCGUUGAGCCCUGAGUUUUGAUUGGGUGAUCUUAUUGAUCGCAGGACAUACAAAGAAUUGUGAUCUUAUUUUUCUACAGUGUGGUUUGUCAAAACGAUAACACUCUUCGAAGCGUUGAGCCCUGAGUUUUGAUUGGGUGAUCUUAUUGAUCGCAGGACAUACAAAGAAUUGUGAUCUUAUUUUUCUACAGUGUGGUUUGUCAAAACGAUAACACUCUUCGAAGCGUUGAGCCCUGAGUUUUGAUUGGGUGAUCUUAUUGAUCGCAGGACAUACAAAGAAUUGUGAUCUUAUUUUUCUACAGUGUGGUUUGUCAAAACGAUAACACUCUUCGAAGCGUUGAGCCCUGAGUUUUGAUUGGGUGAUCUUAUUGAUCGCAGGACAUACAAAGAAUUGUGAUCUUAUUUUUCUACAGUGUGGUUUGUCAAAACGAUAACACUCUUCGAAGCGUUGAGCCCUGAGUUUUGAUUGGGUGAUCUCUAGAAUUAUCUUUUGGUUUCAGUAUUUCCUUAUCGAUGCUGAGAGCAUUAAUUUUUAAUUGUUAUUUACCUUUUGAUAUUGCAGGGGAGGUAAUAUGUGAAACACACAAUUCCUUUUAGUUCUAUCUUCUUCUUGUUUGAUGUUUCAUGUUUUGUAUUUUGAUUAUUUUCUGGUUUCUUUACUCUAUUAUUAUUUUCACUAUUUCAAGUAAGAUAAGUCUGUUGGUGUGCGGUACGAAUAAGGGUUAUAAUUAAAAAGUUGAGCUUUAGAUGUUGUCUUACCAUUAAUGCUACUUUUUUUAUACAAAUGUGUGUUCUACAUUUGGGUUUUCGAUCUAUAUUCUGAUAGUGCAGAAGUUAACAAAGUACCGGAAAAUUUGGGACGACUUGGUGAGCAUGUCUUCUUUUUUCUUGAUUUUUUGUGCAUCUAUUUGUCACAACAUAAUUCUUCUGUACAUGAAUCAUUUUGGUGUUACAUGGAUUUGAUGUGAAGUAUCAUUUUGCUUCUUUCUCAAUCACACUACACCUUUUUAGUUCGCCCUCAGAUUUAGACAAAUUAUAGAUGAGUACCUUUCUGCUUUGUACCAUAAUGUCAUGAUGAUCGUCCAUAUAUUUCCUUGGCGUUAAUUGCGGCAUCCACACUUCUUGAUUCCUUUGCGAAAGAUUAGCCAGUAAGAUUAUCAACCACUUUCUUCAAUGAGUUAUUCGUUUGUUAUUUUUAUUUAUGUGCUUUGAACGCAAGACAUUCAAAUUGAAUUAUGAACCUAUUUUUCUGCAGUGUGCGAAGCAUAUUUUCAUCUAGUAAAUUCUAUUCAUUUAAAUAUUUCUUUGUUGAUUUUGUCAGCAUAUUUUUCUUGAUUUUGGUUUAAUCUUUGUUGUUGCAGGUUCAAUUCCUUCUGGUUAUAUCUUUUCUUGGUGUUGAUUUUGGUUUCUUGAUUUGGUUCUUGCUGGUUUCGAUCUGCGGCUAUUAUUUAGAUUUUUAAUGGUUUUUUCAUUUAUUUUAAUGAUCUGCAGCUAUUAUUUAGAUUUUAACUCACUGCUCUUCCCAUUCCUCUUUUGCGUCAGUUAUUUGAAUAAUUUUCUUCGGUUGAUCAUGUUUCGUGUUAAUUUGUUGCAGUAGGCUGGCCUUUUGAUGUUUGUAAGGCGUUGUAGAGAUGUUUUGGGAAUGAUAUAUCUUCUUCUUGUUUGAUGUUUCAUGUUUUGUAUUUUUAUUAUUUUCAGGAUUUUUUACUCUAUUAUGAUUUUCACUGUUUCAGGUAAGAGAAGUCUAUUUUGUCAUUUCAUACAAGAAGCAGAUUGGAUGGAAAUAUGUCCCUGUGUUUCAUCGUCUUUUGCAGGCUGUUUCGUAUACUUUCUACUGCUGCUAGACUUCAUUUUUGGUAUUAAGAAUCUUCACAUUUCUUUCUUUGUUUGAUAAUGUACAUAUACUUUUUUCGAUUCCUUUGAGGAUUAUGUGUGGAAGUUAUAGUUGAGAUAGUCUAUGAUUGUGUGGUUUGCUAUUGUACCUGUGGCACGAAGAAGUUAAGUUCACAUACCCUUCAGAUAAAAACGGUCAUUUUUUUCUCUACAUAUCUAAUAUAAUUGUUUUGGGAUAGUUG
rnacentral:lncRNA from 1 species